UCCAUUCUCCCUACGAAAUGGAC
rnacentral:piRNA from 1 species